rnacentral:lncRNA from 1 species
GGGGGUGGUUUCCCCCACACUGUUCUCGUGGUUGUGAAUAAGUCUCACAAGAUCUGAUGGUUUUCUCAGGGGUUUCCGCUUUUACGGCUUUCUCAUUCUCUCUUUGCCUGCUGCCAUCCAUGUAAGACAGGAUGGUAAGAGGUCCAAUUAAACGUCUUUCUUUUGUAAAUUGCCCAGUCUGGGGUAUGUCUUUAUCAGCAGCAUGAAA